CAAAAUGUUUUUACUUCUGUUUCUUUCUGCGAAGAAAAAAACAAAAAAACAGAGGAACGUUUCAUAAUAUGCAAAGAUGUGUGAUUGAUAACAGCCUUGCUGUUUUCUGCGAGGGAUGUCAGUCCCUGACACAAUAUGUGAAUUAUUAGGGCAAAGAAGGGCAACCAUAAAUUUUCACUGUCAGGCGAAAACCCUCUUUAUUGUCCGCAUGACAAAUGGGGCUCCUGCACCAGACACCAAAAUGCUCGGCAUUCCUCUUAAAUGGGAACACAUUUCUCGCGACCAUAAUUCACCAUAUUUAAAUAGAAAGUUUUAAUAUCCCUCCACCGCCAUAUAUUUCGCCACACACUGACAUGUUUAUGAAUCACCUCGCAUGCAAAUACAACUAUUUACAUCUCGAGAGGAAAUAUAUUGGGAGUUGCAGGAUUACUGGGAGCUGCGUGUUUGGCCGACGAUCAAGAGUCACUAUUAAAACAACUUUAUUAAAGCUUUCAUAAAUUGUUUUGAGUCAAAUUUGUGUGCUGCUGAGUACUGAAAAUGUUAAAAAGCUGUUUUCCUAGCACUUUCUAAAUUAAUAAUUUACUUUAAAACGUCAAAUCAAUGCAACCGAAAUACAACUAUACACGUACCUUUAUACUUACGAGAUAAAAUGAAACAGCGCGCUACAAAAAGCUUACGCUACGUAUUUUCUAUAUCCUUUUUUAUAAAUAAAACUCCGAAGAUAAAUGACAUUAACUUAAAGUCCGCGACAUGACAUUACCUUACUAUACGCUCCGACGCAGAGGUAAAUGAUAACAAAAAAUAAACAAAACAACAACGUUAUAACAUUACAAGAUACUCCGUUAGAUUCAAAUGAGGUGUUUUCUUUUUUUUUCCUUUCUUUCUUUUUAUGCAUGAGUCAAACCGGCUUUCUGUCGCCCAUGACGCGCCGACAGAAGCGACAGAGAGGACUGAAGCCAUGCAGACUCCCUCCGCUCCAGCAGAAGCAAGAGACGAGGGAGAAAAUGAGCUUUUCCGCGAGUGGGAGGGAGGUUUCAGUUGGGAGUGCGCAGCUACAACAUAAGGCGAGCCGUGGUAAUUGACAGUAAACGCCAUGUUCUUGAGAGAAUAGAUGGAGUCGUAAGGAGACAGUCAGCAGCACUGAAGUUUUAUGAGUUAACGAGCAGUGACCGCGUGCUUCCGCAACACAGCGGGUCAGCUGAUUCAAGCGGCACGCGGAAACAGUAAAAGCCAAUUGUAAAGCGUCAGAGGAACCUGCAAAGCAACAGCGUCACAUUCACAGGAAUCAAUACUGGAUGUCAACAACGUGAGGGAGAAUACAUACUCUGACGCCCACUGCUUGAAAAACAUACAAACGAACAAACUCCGAGCUGUCAUUCUCAGCAGGACAUCAUGGCUCAGAGGGAGUCACCGGUCGUUUUAAAUGGGACUCAAAUAUCAUACAUUGGACAAGACUCUAAAGACAUCCCCCACUUUCUUGGAGAGACGUACGGCAAGUUUGCAAGACGACUGGAUCUGAGCUUCAAUCAGCUCAGGUCGCUGGCAGGCCUCAAAAUGUUUACUGAGCUGGAAGAGUUGGUCGUCGACAACAAUCUGCUUGGAAAUGACCUCCAGUUGCCCAGGUUACCCAAGCUCCACACCCUGACACUCAAUAAGAACCAACUGACUGAUAUCGAGGCCCUGCUGGAACACUUAGCUGAUGUGACCCCAUCGCUCGAGUACCUAAGCCUGCUGGGAAACGAGGCCUGCCCCAACCAGCUGGUGAGCCUGGAUAAGGAUGAUGAUGACUACCAGAGAUACAGGUACUUUGUUCUUUACAAAUUACCCCAGCUGAAGUUUCUGGACUCCAGGAAAGUAACAAAAAAAGAACUGAUGGAGGCACAGGCGAGAGGGGCAUUCAUGAAAGUGGUGAAGCCAAAGUUGGAAGCACAGACAGCUAUCAUGAAGAAAGAGAACUUGGUGUGCAUCACCCAGAGAGGGAAGAAAAUCUGCCUAACGAGGCAGGAUUAGAAAAUCGCCCAUUGCCGUACACACCUCUUCCUCAAGGAUCCAGAGAUGCCAGAAACCACAAAGGGGUAUUCGCCAAGUGUCGCUACAUCUACUAUGGCAAGCACUCAGAAGGCAACAGAUUCAUCCGAAACGAUCAGCUCUGAUGUCCACAGGAUGCUCUCAGAGGAGUCGGGGUUUUUUUAUUUAUUAAAACCACCAGGGAUUUUUUUCAAUCACCUAAUCUACUGCUGGAAAACAAAAGAUACAUUUUAACCGAAUAUGCUGUUGUACUUAUGCAUGAUGAGUACUUUCUUGUUCAUAUAAAAUUUUAGAGCCAUUGUUUUAGUCUCCUCUUCUGAGCUGAGCCUACUUCUGUUUUCUUGCUUGCAGCUCAGAGUCAGAGAUGACACUCCCACUGACAUGAUCGCCUCUAAACAUCAGUUGCAACACAACUCACACACACGCACAAGGACCUUCUCCCUGCCUUAUUGUCUUACACACAGCGAGCAACAAACAUAUCCAGACAAUUGCUUCCUUUUCUUUGACACCCAUGAUGGAUCACUUGUCCACAACAGCUACUAAUCAAGGGUGAAGGGGGUGGCGGUCCCACACCUGGGCCCUGACAUGGACUCAUCUUCUUCAUUCUCAGAUUUUCCCUUUCUUUUUUUCUCCUGCGCUUGUGCUCCCAACUGCUAUUUAAGUCAUUAAGAUAAGAGGUGAGAGAAACUGGUGAAAGCAGCAAUAGCUGAGAAUUGGUGUCUUCAGUAACAUGCACAGCAGCAUUCCAGAUUUUGACAUUGUUCUAGACAGUGAAAUUGUAUUUGUGGGAGCUGUAAAUAGGUUUCUAUUCUUAUUGCUGUUUACAUGUUACAGAGCAUUGUGGGAUUACAUCCUCCUACACCAUUUGAUAUGUUUGGCCCAUCUGGAGCCCUAAUUACCUGCAUGCCCUUCAAAACCUGAAACUUUACUCUUUUUCUUGCCAUUAACAGUUCUCUUUUUGGCACCUGCUCUGUUCUCCACUAAAUCUGUUGAAAUUUCUACUGGAUUCACUGUUAAAUUGGAAGAUUUUUAUUUUUUUAUUUUUUUACAAUUUUCUCUAAAAACAACUACCUUGGUGAGGAUCCCCAAUAAAAGAAUUCAUACUUCCCAUAAAUUGACAUUCUUAAAGAUUUAGGCACCCUGGUCAAGUUAUUUGACAACUGAUCUCCAAAUUCAACUCAAGCAAACAGUUGUAACAAGUUACAGAUUAAAUAUCUGUAAAACCAUGCCUAUGAAAAAUGUUCAUAAAAUGUCACCAGCAUUUUAUGUUUAAGGUAGAUGCUAGCAGUUUAUCACCAUAAACACGAGUGCAUAUCUAGCUACUGACUUGUGCAAUGUGCAUAGUUCACCACACAUGGUUUAUAAGCCCUAAAACAGUUUAAAAGAAAUGUGACAAACAUUGAUGUUACCAAAAAGAGAGAUACAAAGUGAACUUAUAUCUCUAAAAUAUUGAACUAAAAUCAUUAACACAAACCUCUGACUAUAUGCUUAUCACACAACAUAUUUUUUCCAUCUGUCCAUUUCUGGUAGACGUUUAGUGAAGUCUGAUCAGAUUGUUGUACAGUUCUAAAUGGCGGCCUGUGAAGACUGAUGAGGCUCGUUCCAAUCUUUUUUCUAACCUAACAAUUUAAAACAGCCCAGCUUCUCUCCCAGGAGUAGCUUUGCAUGUGUAUGACAACAUGACAACAGGUAAAACUCAUCAAAUGGAGUGUAAAAUUUAUCUUUGGGAUACUUUUCCUAAAAAAAGAAAAAAAUGUCUGACUGAAAUAAUACUUUAGUAUUGGAUUCUCAUAAUUCAUCUAACAUUAUUGUUCUUAAUCCUGUUGAGUUUUUCCCCACUAUGUCUUAGCCUUUGUACUUGCUGUGUUGUUUUCUUUAUUUGAACUGAGAUACACUUUCAAAUUUAAACGAGCUGUGAAGAUAUACACUGGAGUUUCUAAUUGACUGUUCUGCUUAUGUGAAUUUUCCUGUUUUUAUUAUUAUUAUCAAUCUUGUACACUGUGUUUCUCGUACUAUGGCUUCAAGGGAACCUUCCAGAUGAAGAUUUUGAACAAACAUUUAAUUUCUAACAGCUGAUCUAAGAAAAAAUAUAUAUCAUUGCUGUGUGAUUAAAAGGGCUGGACUCAAAUAUG